rnacentral:rRNA from 1 species
UACGGGGGGAGCAAGCGUUGUCCGGAUUUACUGGGCGUAAAGGGCGCGUAGGCGGCCACCGCAAGUCGACUGUGAAAUCUCCGGGCUUAACCCGGAAAGGUCAGCCGAUACUGCGGGGCUAGAGUGCAGAAGGGGCAACUGGAAUUCUCGGUGUAGCGGUGAAAUGCGUAGAUAUCGAGAGGAACACCUGCGGCGAAGGCGGGUUGCUGGGCUGACACUGACGCUGAUGCGCGAAAGCUAGGGGAGCGAACGGG